rnacentral:misc_RNA from 1 species
GCAUCCAUGUGAGACGUGGAAAGGCACCGCCGGCCUUGGCAAGUAAACCCACGAAGGAGCUGCAGCCGGGACUACAACCGGACCAGCAGGAGCCAAGAGAUGAGGCGGUGGGGCAAAGGCUGAGAUCAUGGGGUUUCUACCGAAGGAUACUGCAGCUGCGGCUGCGUUUCGGGUAGCUUGCAUUUGGGCUCUCUUGAGUUGCUGUCUUUCUUUCUUAUGUGCGUUCUGGUGGCCACCGAGUGCUUGUGAAUUGGCGAAUUC